GGAAGAAGCAGGCUCCCAGCGGAGGAGACGGACGUGGGGCUCGAUCCUGGGAAUUACUUGGUGGAGACUCUCUUUCCUUUCUGGAUCGCAGAUUAUGCUCCAAAGUCAACAGUGAUGUCAUCUCCCUGUAACCAGCCAUGAUGAUGUCAGCAGCAGCCAGCCCUGCCCUUCAGAUGUGCUUCCAACGUGAAAGCUGCGAAUAGAAAUUGCUUCUUUUUUACAAAUAUUUUUUCCGCUUUUAUUUUUUUUUAAACUCUCGUGCUUCGUGCCAAAAAAAUGGAAAAUACACAUUUACCAAGAAGAAAUUUAGAUCCCCUAAAACCUUUCAGUGAACUGUUAGUACCAGUAACUGCUGUGACUUGGAAAAUACGCACAUUUCUGGGCAGGAAGUUAAGACGAAAUUUGAGUCCAGGCAUGAGGUGAUUGGUUUCCACUUAUGAUUUUCUGCCUGCCUUUCAAAACUUUGCCUCCAGGGCAGCUUUCCUUUGCAAUUGAAGCCACGUGCUUCCUGGUUCCUCUCCGGGGGCAGAGAGAGAGGAAACCCGCCCAUAGGCAGAGCAUAACAGUCUUCUGGGGCUUUGGGUGGGUUAAUUAGGUUCUGGUAAGAAAGGGGAGGUAAACGGAUGCAGCUCGGUACGGCAUUUACUUUGCAGGAGUUUUCUGAGUUUUGAAGGACAACAAGGGCAAAGCGGACAUAUUCUGGGGAGUUAUUAACUAUUAGAAGCAAUUAUCGGCUCAUACAUUGUAUUUACACCAUCCCUGCGCCGGGAGCCACUCAUGCCUGUGUUCCUCCUCCUCACCCCAGGACUCAAUGUUUUUCUUAAUUAAAGGCAAGUACUUGCCAGGUUACUUACAAGGAAUUGUUAAUGUCAAGUAAGAAGAGCAGAUAAAGCAAAUCCCAACAUGAGAGCUGAGAGGCCGGGAGAGAGAUCUCAGCCCAAGAGGCUAAGCCGAUUUCUAUACCGAAGAGUGUGGGAUAAAGAGAACAAGAGGGAGAAGGCAAAUGAUGGCCUGGAAGCUUAUAGAAGAUGCUGGGGUGAGGGGCCAUGGGAGAGAUUCUAGGGCGGGUGUAGGAUCUGAAUGGACAGGUUCAAGGAAGAUUUGUGCAUGGCUGGUGUGGAUGACAACCUGGAUUCCUGCCAAAAUUCCUCAGAAGACACAAGAAAUCUUUUGGAAUCACUUAGGAAGACGGCGUUCUGUGUCUGGAGUGGGCUUCUCUGGCUGUGACUUUAUACCAGGGCUGGACCCUCUGUGACACCAAUCAUACCUGGGUUGCAGCAUAAUGUGGACACUGUCUCUCUUUUCCACAGGAGGGGUUCUCUCUAGGACGCCACAUGAUAUUCAGUCAUCAUGGCUCCCUACGCUCCUCUUGACCAUUCCUCAGACUUCACUUAUUUUUCAUGUCCUUGGCCAUUUUGAGGAUGUUUGCGAGUUGCCCCACUCUUGGGAUUUUCUGAUGUUUUGCUCAUGCUUAGACUGGGGUUAUGAGUUCUCGGGAAGAAGAGAUAGGUGCCAUUUUCAUCAUAUAUCAAGAGUACAUACAAUCAACAUGUUUUAUGACUGUUGGUGUUUAAACUCGACCAACCACCCGGCUGAGGUUAUCUCCCAAUAGAAUUCUUCCCUCCCUGGAGAGAGGGUUCACGUGUUUUGUUUUGUUUUUUAAUCCAGCCCUUCAGCAGAUUAAAGAAGGCCCACCCACAUUGUGGAGGACAGUCUGCUUUACUCAAAGUUUACUCAUUUAAGGUUUAAUGUUUUCUAAAAACUACCUUUAAAGAAACAUCUCGAAUACUGUUUGACCAAAUAUUUGGGUAUCAUGGCCUUGCCAAGUUGAUACACAAAAUUAACCAUUGCUGUUGGGAAGAGGGGAGGAAAUGCUGAACAGACACAGGGUUGGAGGACCUGGCUCAGUGUUACCCCAGUGGGUGUGGAAGAUCUCUGUGGGAGAGACUGGACAACUGAUCUCCAUGACUCUGGAAGCAGUGUGGGGGGUGAGCUCGCUGGAGUCCUAUGGGGCAGAGGGAAGGAGGGCAGUAGAUGGGAGAUCUGGCUCACCGUCUCUCUGUCACUUUGACAAGAUCAUCUCACCCCUCUGGGCCAGCAGGUACAAAUCAUGAAAGUCAACAGGUGGGAGGGGAUGAAAUCUUGGUGGACGAGAGAGCUAAUUUUAUAUUUUUUUUUAAAUUUAUUUAUUUAUUUGAGAGAGAGCAUGCACAUG